CGAGUCCAACUCGGACCUCCCAGAGGUAACUACAUGAGCCACUCUCUUUGGCUCACAGGAGUAGCUUCCUCCUCCUUUAACGUGCUUCCUCAGCAUCUAAUAUCCAUCACCAAACCCAAACCCACCAUGAGGACAUCAAAAAGUAACAAGUCAACAGUACAUACCGGAUGAUCCGCAUCCAACUCAGAGCCAUACAUCAGGACACGGUUAGCACACUUGUCCAAGUCUGAAAUCUUCUUUGGGAACCAAGUGUCUUCAGGAUUUCAUUUACCUUCUUCAUCGAGACAAGAGUUAUCUGGAGGAUCCAUAUCUACCACGCUCACAUGCUUUCUAAGCAGCUGGAUUAUUUCAUUCAGUUGUUCGUGGUUGCUGUCGCAGUCCACAAAAAUUUCAAACUCAGAGUUGCGUCUUUUGGAUUUUCUGGACUCUAUGUGUACAAGGUUGACAUGGUUUUCCUGCAAGAAACAUGGAGAUUCAUUUUUAAGUUAGCUACAUUAGCCUUAUCAUCAGCAUGAUAAAUGAAUAAGUUGCUGGUAGACAUAUAUAUGUCAUAUGUAUGACAUUUAUAUGAUAUGAAAAUGUUAUUCUAUAAUCAAGACUAUUCCAGGUAAAUACAUUAACAUGAACAGGAAUAACGUUGUCCAUACCUGGAAGAGUUUGAGAGCCUUUACUAGUCCUCCUACUUCAUUCUUGAGGGAAAAUAUUAUUGUUGCUCUCCCUUUCUCUGAUGUAUUGUUCUUUUCAGUGUUUUCCUCAAUUUUUG